GUUUUUAUAGUUGAAUACAUUUAUUUUUCAGGUCAGAAGUUUUGGUUAAAGUCCAAAUAAAAAUU
rnacentral:tRNA from 1 species